GUCUAAUUUUUUUGAGGGUCGGUGGAAGGCUGGUUAAACUGUUUGGUUUUCGACCACUACGACCCAGGUUCGAUUCCUGCAUUGGACA
rnacentral:tRNA from 1 species